rnacentral:rRNA from 1 species
AUUGAACGCUGGCGGCAUGCUUUACACAUGCAAGUCGAACGGCAGCACGGGUGCUUGCACCUGGUGGCGAGUGGCGGACGGGUGAGUAAUACAUCGGAACGUGUCCUGAAGUGGGGGAUAACGCAUCGAAAGAUGUGCUAAUACCGCAUAUACUCUGAGGAGGAAAGUAGGGGAUCGAAAGACCUUAUGCUUUUGGAGCGGCCGAUGUCUGAUUAGCUAGUUGGUAAGGUAAUGGCUUACCAAGGCAACGAUCAGUAGUUGGUCUGAGAGGACGGCCAGCCACACUGGGACUGAGACACGGCCCAGACUCCUACGGGAGGCAGCAGUGGGGAAUUUUGGACAAUGGGCGCAAGCCUGAUCCAGCAAUGCCGCGUGAGUGAAGAAGGCCUCGGUUGUAAGACGUCUUUCAGUUCGAGAAGAAAGGUAGUGACGUAAUAAUACAUAACUACAUGACGGUAUCGAUAGAAGAAGA